rnacentral:rRNA from 1 species
UACGUAGGGUGCAAGCGUUGUCCGGAAUUACUGGGCGUAAAGGGCUCGUAGGCGGCCAACUAAGUCGGAUGUGAAAUCCCCAGGCUCAACUUGGGAACUGCAUCCGAUACUGGAUGGCUUGAAUCCGGGAGAGGGAUGCAGAAUUCCAGGUGUAGCGGUGAAAUGCGUAGAUAUCGAGAGGAACACCAGUGGCGAAGGCGGCGAUCUGGGCAGAUACUGACGCUGAUGUGCGAAAGCGUGGGGAGCAAACAGG